UGCCCAGUAGCUUAACUGAUAGAGCAAGGGAUUUUGGUUCCCUAGGUUGCAGGUUUAAAUCCUGCCUGGGCAU
rnacentral:tRNA from 1 species